rnacentral:rRNA from 1 species
CGUGUGGUUCUAUUUUGUUGGUUUCUAGGACCGCCGUAAUGAUUAAUAGGGACAGUCGGGGGCAUCAGUAUUCAAUUGUCAGAGGUGAAAUUCUUGGAUUUAUUGAAGACUAACUACUGCGAAAGCAUUUGCCAAGGAUGUUUUCAUUAAUCAGGAACGAAAGUUAGGGGAUCGAAGACGAUCAGAUACCGUCGUAGUCUUAACCAUAAACUAUGCCGACUAGGGAUCGGACGAUGUUAUUUUUUGACUCGUUCGGCACCUUACGAGAAAUCAAAGUGCUUGGGCUCCAGGGGGAGUAUGGUCGCAAGGCUGAAACUUAAAGAAAUUGACGGAAGGGCACCACCAGGGGUGGAGCCUGCGGCUUAAUUUGACUCAACACGG